UACGAAGGGGGCUAGCGUUGCUCGGAAUCACUGGGCGUAAAGGGCGCGUAGGCGGCGUUUUAAGUCGGGGGUGAAAGCCUGUGGCUCAACCACAGAAUGGCCUUCGAUACUGGGACGCUUGAGUAUGGUAGAGGUUGGUGGAACUGCGAGUGUAGAGGUGAAAUUCGUAGAUAUUCGCAAGAACACCGGUGGCGAAGGCGGCCAACUGGACCAUUACUGGACGCUGAGGCGCGAAAGCGUGGGGAGCAAACAGG
rnacentral:rRNA from 1 species